UACAGAGGUCUCAAGCGUUGUUCGGAUUCAUUGGGCGUAAAGGGCGCGUAGGCGGUGCCACAAGUCACCUGUGAAAUGCCCGGGCUUAACCUGGGAACUGCAUUUGUGACUGCAUGGCUAGAGUUUGGCAGAGGGGGGUAGAAUUCCACGUGUAGCAGUGAAAUGCGUAGAUAUGUGGAGGAACACCGAUGGCGAAGGCAGCCCCCUGGGUCAAGACUGACGCUCAUGCACGAAAGCGUGGGGAGCAAACAGG
rnacentral:rRNA from 1 species